rnacentral:rRNA from 1 species
GACGAACGCUGGCGGCGUGCUUAACACAUGCAAGUCGAACGGAAAGGCCUCUUUCGGGGGGUACUCGAGUGGCGAACGGGUGAGUAACACGUGAGUAACCUGCCCUUGACUUUGGGAUAACUUCAGGAAACUGGGGCUAAUACCGGAUAGGAGCUCCUGCUGCAUGGUGGGGGUUGGAAAGUUUCGGCGGUUGGGGGUGGACUCGCGGCGUAUCAGCUUGUUGGUGGGGUAGUGGCUUACCAAGGCUUUGACGGGUAGCCGGCCUGAGAGGGUGACCGGCGACAUUGGGACUGAGAGACGGCCCAGACUCCUACGGGAGGCAGCAGUGGGGAAUAUUGCACAAUGGGUGGAAGCCUGAUGCAGCAACGCCGUGUGCGGGAUGACGGCCUUCGGGUUGUAAACCGCUUUCGCUCAUGACGAAGCUUUGUGUGACGGUAGUGGGUAAAGAAGCACCGGCUAACUACGUG